UAUGUUUUCUGUCAAUAUACCUAGUUAAUAAACAGCUCUAAGGCCCUAUACAAUCUGUUAUUAUGUUUUCUGAUUUUUAUCUUUCUUGGAUUUAGGUUUUGUUUUUUACUCUCAAAAUAUAUAUUUUUCAACGAAAUUAGAUUACAUUAGAUUAGAUUACAUUAGAUUAAAUUAGAUUACAUUAGAUUAGUUCUGAGUCCAUGUCAAUGCUUAAUGAAAUGAAAUAAUGAAAAAUAAAAGUAGGUCGAAGAAAACAAACACAUUUAGAUUUUGGGGUGUAAUUCCCCUUUAAUUGUGCGUGUGGCCCUUUAAUUAUGUGUCUGUCCCUUUAAUUAUGCGCCUGGCCCUUUAAUUCUGCAUCUAGUGAGUGAGGGAUGUCCCAUCUAAUGUACCAGUUUAGUGACAUUUUAAAAUAACAAUUAAUACAUAUAGAUGAUGUACUUCCUCAUGAAUAUACCUCUGCCAGGUCAGGCUACUUUACAGUUAACAUUUAAUUGAGAAGGGUUUUGGGUAAAAUAUUUCAGUCAACCCACAAGACGGUUAUCACGUCAACUUGCUACACACGGUGUGAUAGACACACGCACGCAACCACACAGACAGACAGGGGCCAUAUUACUGGAAAUGAAGUGGGCAGAUAUUGUGUUAGGAUUGGCUUGUUUUUAAAGGCAGUAGUGGCUAACCAGGGGUGGGAUGAUAUCAACGUUGUGUUGAUUAGUGAGUAGCUGGCAGCUUGUUGUGAUACUGUGUGAGAUUAGUUUAUGACCGUUUGUGGUGGUUGAACACGUGAACAUUUCAUGUACUAUUCAGAAUAGUUUGGCGAGCAACUCAUAGGUGGGCUGGUAGCUACCGGUAGCUGGAGAUCGACCUGUUGGAGAGGCCUACACCCUAACCUACCUGGAAAUACUCUGACUCACACAGACUGAUCCCUGGAAAUACUCUGACUCACACAGACUGAUCCCUGGAAAUACUCUGACUCACACAGACUGAUCCCUGGAAAUACUCUGACUCACACAGACUGAUCCCUGGAAAUACUCUGACUCACACAGACUGAUCCCUGGAAAUACUCUGACUCACACAGACUGAUCCCUGGAAAUACUCUGACUCACACAGACUGAUCCCUGGAGAUACUCUGACUCACACAGACUGAUCCCUGGAAAUAGACCACGAUUUCCGACGUUUGAAAAGGACACCCAGAACGUCGAUAUAUCGCUUCCUCCACGCUCACCACCAAACAAAUGACAAAUGAUUGGCCGGCAGAUUGAACUGGUGAUGCUCAGAGCCAGAGGGAGCUGCUCAGACCAGUGCAGUUCAGAAUGCUCUAGCCAGCCGGCAGAUUGAACUGGUGAUGCUAUUAUGAUGAUAUUAUUUUGUUCCUUGUCUUCCCCAAACCACUCUGAACCAUAGCCCUAACUUUAACCACUCUGAACCAUAGCCCUAACUUUAACCACUCUGAACCAUAGCCCUAACUUUAACCACUCUGAACCAUAGCCCUAACUUUAACCACUCUGAACCAUAGCCCUAACUUUAACCACUCUGAACCAUAGCCCUAACUUUAACCACUGAAUGAAUACCUAAACUUCACCCUUUGAGUUGUUUUAACCCUGUAACCACACAUAAUUAAUGGGUCAAAAAUAGACAGUCAUCCACAAUACACACACACACACACACAACACACACACGUAACAGUACAACUUUAAACUGUCCCCUCGCCCAUAUCCGGGCUCGAACCAGGGACCCUCUGCACACAUCAACAACAGUCACCCACAAAGCAUCGUUACCCAUCGCUCCACAAAAGCCGCGGCCCUUGCAGAGCAAAGGGGAACCACUAAGGUCUCAGUGCAAGUGACGUCACCGAUUGAAACGCUAUUUAGCACGAACCACCGCUAACUAAGCUAGCCGUUUCACAUCCGUUACACACACACACACACACACACACACACACACACACACACUUUAACCACACACACACACCAGUAACCCUCUGCACACACACUGACCACGGCACACACUGUACACACAAACCUUUAUCAUGUAAUUCACACACACACACACACACACACACACACACACACACACACACACACACACACACACACACACACACACACACACACACACACACACACACACACACACACACACACACACACACACACACACACACACACACACACACACACACACACACACACACACACACACACACACACAAACACACACACACACACACACACACACGCACACACACACACGCACGCACGCACACACACACAGUGACUGAUGUAUAUGUUCUGGAUCAUCUAACAGACAAACCUUUAUCAUGUCAAUUCUAUAUUGUUCAAAAAAUUAUGGUUUUUGAAAGUGAAUUGAUCACAAACAUGAUUUCAUCACAAGCAGAAUGACACCAUGAUAAUAUAAUAUACUGUUGAACCUCUGUGAAUGAUACUAUGAUAAUAUAACAUACUGUUGAACCCCUGUGAAUGACACCAUGAUAAUAUAAUAUACUGUUGAACCUCUGUGAAUGAUACUAUGAUAAUAUAACAUACUGUUGAACCCCUGUGAAUGAUACUAUGAUAAUAUAAUAUACUGUUGAACCCCUGUGAAUGACACCAUGAUAAUAUAAUAUACUGCUGAACCUCUGUGAAUGAUACUAUGAUAAUAUAACAUACUGUUGAACCUCUGUGAGUGAUACUAUGAUAAUAUAACAUACUGUUGAACCUCUGUGAAUGAUACUAUGAUAAUAUAACAUACUGUUGAACCCCUGUGCAU
ensembl:lncRNA